CCCAUCCUAGGUGUACAAAUAAAGACACACAGAAAGGUUAGGGGACCGGCUCAAGGAACAGGAUUUGAACCAGUGAUCUGGCUGCAGACCCCUACUCUCAGUCACCCCCCUCCAGCUUGUUCGUUUGUUGCUUGUUUUGAUGAAGAAACGGAGUCCUUAAAUGCCAUCCCCAUGCUCACAAUUUCGAAGGUACAUCGCCUGCCAGGAGUCUCACCUGAACUCAGGGUUGAAUAUCCAGCUGUGGCUCAACAUGCCUAAUGGGCAACUCCAGAGCUCCAGCCGCCUGGCCCAGAGUCAACCGUGGUUCCAUCAGCGGGAAGGUGAAAAUGAAACUGUGUUCCCAGCUCCGGAAAGCAAUCUGCGAUUCAGCAGGAAGAGAUCAAGGGUUAAUGACAUGGAGUUGGGCAAAGGCUGCCGCCGUGGCUCUGAGCAUUAUCAGGAGGCGGGAAACAAAGAAUGGUUGUUAAAUCGGUUUGUUACAAAAGUUAUUUCCUAAUGUAAUUCAUGAAACACUUGCCAGAACAUUAGGCACAUCCUUCGAAAGCACAAGGGAACUUAAAAAAGAAAGAAAGAAAAAAACAAAAAGAAAGAAAAAGUGGCUUCUAAAGUCAACGAUGGAACUCUUAGAAAGGGUUAAUGCCCUUCAUAUACAAAGAGUUCUUGCAAAACAAUAGGAAAAGGUACCUUAUUAUAAAUUGGCUAUUCAGAAAUGAAGAAGUACAAAAGGCAGGCAAACAUGAAGACAAGAUCCACCUUGUAAGCAUGAUUACAAGAUCCAGUAAUCAAGGAAAUGCAAAUAAAAGCUACAAUGACAUAUCAUUUCCCAACUAUCAGAUUGGCAGAGAAUGGCGGUGUGCGCCAUGAUGUUCAAUGGGCAGAAAUUUUAAAGCAACUCAGAAAUUUAACCUUGGGGCAUUUCUCCUAAGGAUAUAGCAGGCCAAGCAGUCUCUGUGGACAACCGUGUUCACUGAAGCGUUGUUUAUAAUAGUAAAACACUGGGAGGGGGAAACCCAAAGGCUAAGCUACAGAGGAUUCAUUAAAUAAACAAUGGCAAGCUUACAUGAUAAAAUACUAGAUUAAAAAUAGAUUGUAUUAAAUAAAUAUAAAACUUUUUAUCAAGUUGUAUUUAGAAAACUAAUUAAAAAUGGCAAUAUAGAGAGAUGUCAUGACACAC